rnacentral:rRNA from 1 species
ACUCCUACGGGAGGCAGCAGUGGGGAAUAUUGCACAAUGGGGGGAAACCCUGAUGCAGCCAUGCCGCGUGUGUGAAGAAGGCCUUCGGGUUGUAAAGCACUUUCAGUAGGGAGGAAGGUAGUGUAGUUAACACCUGCAUUAUUUGUACGUUACCUACAGAAGAAGCACCGGCUAACUCCGUGCCAGCAGCCGCGGUAAGUACGGAGGGUGCGAGCGUUAAUCGGAAUUACGUGGGCGUAAAGCGCAUGCAGGCGGCCUGUUAAGUCAGAUGUGAAACGCCCGGGGUCUUAACCGUCGGAAUUGCAUUUGAAACUGGCAGGCUAGAGUCUUGGUAGAGGGGGUUAGAAUUUCAGGUGUAGCGGUGAAAUGCGUAGAGAUCGUGAAGGAA